UGGGUGAGUCCAGCAGCGCCAUCUAGCAGGACAACGGACACGCGGCCACAAACCAGCUACCCCUUCCCUCCUCACUUCAUAUCCUCUUCUCUUGGAUCCCCUCUCUCGUCUAGCUCGCCGGGGGCACCGCCGCUCGCCGUUGCAACGCCGGUCACAGGAACCAGCGGGAUUCGCCAGCCCUCAGUCCGGAUCGACGUCCAUGCCUCCAGCUCCGACAUGCACGCCAGCUCGCCGUUGCAACGCCGGUCACAGGAACCAGCGGGAUUCGCCAGCCCUCAGUCCGGAUCGACGUCCAUGCCUCCAGCUCCGACAUGCACGCCAGCUGGACGGCGCCGUGAAUCGCCUCGUUUUCUGGUGCGUUCUUGCUCCUAGGAACCUCUUAGACCGAGGCCGCCUUCCUCGGUUUCGUCGGCCGUCGCGGUCGUCAUCCUCACCGAACAGCUACAGGGACUGUGACGGGCUCCGCUUUGUCCACAUCUUCUCUGGACCACUGAUUCGAAGCCGUGGAUCCCUCCUACUUCUUCCUGACGCUGACCGCCAUGACCGCUGUCCAGAACUCGUUGCUCUGCUCUGUCCGACCUCGCCACUAACAGCAGGGUGAGAAAUCGCCGCCGCUGUUGGUGUUGUUUGCUACUUGCCGCUGUCGCUGCAUGCUGCUGGCCACUUGUUGCUUGCCGUUGAUGCUCGAUGAUGUUAGCCGUGACUUGCCUGUAGAUGAGAGAAAGAGAGAUUGAUUUGCUAGUGCAAGUAUCUAAUGAGCCAGAUGCCAGCUGGUUUGAUCUUUUCAGCAAACGCUAUUGGGAAGUUGUGUGUGGGGAGCGACACUGUUUUUGUUUCAGUAACUUGCUGGCACAAAUGCUGUCGUGUACUACUCUACGUCCAUGUUCCACAGUACAUGCAUUGCAUCUAAUGUUGCAGCGAGUGCUCUUGUUCGGUGAUGCCAAUGUUUUUGGCACCAUGAUUGCAUCUCCACUGAUGGUCAAGCAAGGAAGGAAGAGCCUUCUCAUAACAAGAUUAUCUGGAAUGGUGCGUCGAUGUUACUCUUGACAUUGUCCUUCACCUGGAAGGCUUUAGCACCUUAUUAUGGCACUCUUGUUGUUGUUGGCACUGUCCUAUAAGUGGUUUAAAUUCACCUAAUAUGGUGUUCUCCUGGUUUUUCAUUAUAACUAAUUUUAGCUCAUAACUAACUUCAAAUCUUGAUAGUAAUUUUAUGA